rnacentral:tRNA from 12 species
CGAAAUCGGUAGACGCUACGGACUUAAAAUCCGUCGACUUUAUAAGUCGUGAGGGUUCAAGUCCCUCUAUCCCCA